rnacentral:piRNA from 1 species
UGUAUGCCAGCUAUUUAGGGAUAUG